rnacentral:lncRNA from 1 species
GACACUUCAAGACAAGGGUUUUAGCUAUUGUUGUACUUCCAGCUACAUAUAUAUUUUCUUCUAAACUAUAAUACAUAUACACAGGAGCGUGCACAAACAAAUCUCCUGAUGCAAAAUAAAAAAUGAGUAGUAUGCCCAAAAUACACGUCAGUGUCUAAUUAUACAAGUACAAUAAUAAUUUUGAGGAUAGAUAGACUAAGACAGACCAAGAAACUGCUUGGAAGUCUAUUCAUUGGAGUACCAAAAUAAAAAAAAGAAUAAGCAUCAAUAUUAGGAGUUGUGCUUCCCAUUCCUUUCAAAUAUGAUAAUAUCAUCAAAAAAGUAACGCACUCAUAUAAUCAAAGUUGCAUGAAGUAAGACGCAGAAGAUCUCUACAUGGGGCUCGACCGUGUCCCCUGUUAUGUCCAUCCUCUGCGUAGCACCUCUCACAACAGAUCAACUUGUUGCUCAGUAAAUCACCGCAUUUCUUUCCUUAGAAGCGUAUGUGGAGUCUCUCCUCGGCCAUCUUCGUCUUUGUGUCCAAACAUUGGGCUCCACAUAAAUAGAGAGAUAACCAAAUACUUGCAAUGUUGUUAAUCUGUAUUUCAAUAUUAGUCAGUAAUGGUGUGAAAUUGAGCUAGUUUUGUAUCUAUGGGUUGAUAAACUUCCCAGUGAGAAGUCAUGCAUCCGUCAAUUUGCAGCAUACAAAGAAUGUGAUUGAUGUGAGUGGAUAUUGGUGUUCUGGUGUUGAUAUAAGCAAAUCUCUUAAUGAACUAAAGCCAUCGGCCAUAUCUAUACCAUAUGGGACAAUGCCUAGUAAAAACAAUUUGCAGUCACAAGACGAAGCCAAGUGCUGACAAAAAUGUCAUGAGAAGCCAGCUGGUACAGUUCACCAUCCCAGCAUACUUGAUAGUGCAAAUGACAUACGAUUAUCACAAUGUAAAGUUUUUUUUACCAGUACUAAAUACUGCCCAUCGGAUUAAGGCCAACUUAUAAAGAUAAGUUUCAUGGUGGAUUAGAGACCACUCGGUAAUUCAGAAUCGAGAAGAAAAAAAUACAUAUAACAGGUAGCCGACAAAGCAGAUAAUAAAGCUGAAAUAUCCCCUUAUAUUUCUUCCAGUGAAGUCUCGCCUUUAAUCAUCCAUCCAUAUGUAGUCAUAAACAAUUGAUAAAAGGAGCAGUAUGCUUAGGGAAAAUAUUUUUUUUCUGUGCACAACACUCUAAUAAACACAGUACAGGUUGAUUAAAAGAUAUCCAUCUAUAUAAAGCUCUUGUUUGGUUCUACCCGAGUGCUGCUAAAUGUGAUGGUGGAGUUUCUGCUUGUGAAGAUGCCUUUUCACUCAUCGACUUUACCCACUCACUCCUUCAGCUCCUAAUCCUGCCUGUUUGAGCCAUUACUUUGCCUAAUAUUCUCCUACCAAAAGGAACAACACAUUCACGCAUCCGUUCAGUCAGUUAUGAAAAUUAUGAUAAGCAGGAGAGGCUCGACUAUGAAUCAAUCGAUCCAUGCCCCCUUACCGAGGUGGAACUCAUGGUGACAUGAGAGACUCAUCUUCAUCAAUGUCUCCGCACAGCCACAAUGAGGCAGGUUCAUACAUCUAGCUGAUCUUGGUUAUUACUCGAUGAUUCACUGUCAUCCCCGUGUCUUCUGUUGGUAGCGAAAAAGUUGAGCAGUUUUACAUCAACAAUUACAUACAAAUAAAAUCAUUGUGUUGUCUUCUUCGUGGUGUAAGACUACUUAGUAGGGUGCAUGUCAACCGAACAAUAAGAUGCGUUUUGUGUGAAUUUGAACCCAUAAAUCUCAGACAUGUGAACAAACAGACAUUCAAUUAUUAGUCUGAUAGUCUAGUUAGUUUAAAAAAUAUUGAGUUGCAUAUAACUUUCAGGUGAGCAACAAACAAAAAUCUCUAUAACCACAUACUUGUUAUUGGAGAGUGAACAGUUGUUAUUUCACGUAUCUUACCUUCAUAGACAAUAGAGGAAAACUUCAACUCCAUUAUUGACGCUAUCUCCAUUGCAAGAUUCAGGAAAGAAUUUCUGUUGAGAACCAGUGAAAAAACUAUUAUUAAAAAUACAAGACCACAUGAUGAAGCACGUACUAUUUCAUUUUUCAGUCCUACAGUGUAACAUCAAGAAACAAGCGCUAAUUAAUUCAAGAAUUACAUCAUAACUUUCAGGUGAGAACCAAAUAAAAGUUCCUAUUUCAUUUUUCAGUCCCACGGUGUAACAUCAAGAAAGAGCCCUAAUUAAUUCAAGAAUUACAUCAUAACUUUCAGGUGAGAAAUAAAUAAAAGUUCCUAUAACCACUUGCUUGUUCUUGGUGGAUCAAAAUUUAAAACAUGAAGGCAAGUUGCAAGUUGUCAAUAGGAUCUGGACAACACAUGAAGCUUCCACCGUUCAGCUGUGUGUGUGAGAGAGAAAAAGAGGGAGAGGAUGGCUAACAAGAUGAUAGAUUUGAUGCGACGAAUGGGGGUGAAGAGGGUGGGUACCUGUGGUUGAGUGCUCCCCGUCCCAGGGUAGUGUUUACUGGCU